UGGGGAAUUUUGGACAAUGGGCGCAAGCCUGAUCCAGCCAUGCCGCGUGCGGGAAGAAGGCCUUCGGGUUGUAAACCGCUUUUGUCAGGGAAGAAAUCUUCUGAGUUAAUACCUCGGGAGGAUGACGGUACCUGAAGAAUAAGCACCGGCUAACUACGUGCCAGCAGCCGCGGUAGUACGUAGGGUGCAAGCGUUAAUCGGAAUUACUGGGCGUAAAGCGUGCGCAGGCGGUUUUGUAAGACAGAGGUGAAAUCCCCGGGCUCAACCUGGGAACUGCCUUUGUGACUGCAAGGCUUGAGUGCGGCAGAGGGGGAUGGAAUUCCGCGUGUAGCAGUGAAAUGCGUAGAUAUGCGGAGGAACACCGAUGGCGAAGGCAAUCCCCUGGGCCUGCACUGACGCUCAUGCACGAAAGCGUGGGGAGCAAACAGGAUUAGAUACCCUGGUAGUCCACGCCCUAAAACGAUGUCAACUGGUUGUUGGGAAGGUUCCUUCUCAGUAACGUAGCUAACGCGUGAAGUUGACCGCCUGGGGAGUACGGCCGCAAGGUUG
rnacentral:rRNA from 1 species